GACGACUGAAUGAGACCCAGGUGAAGAUUUUUAAAUCCUCGGCUAAGAAAAGGCAGAGGUUUCCCAUUGUAGAAUUAGUGUGAGUGCUAUUUAAGAAAAUCUGCUUCUGGGGAGGGAGCCACUUGGGGGAGAGGGGCUGAGGAGGAAGCACUGCCACCCCCUUGCUCCAAUGAAGCCUGGGUGUGAGUCUGUUGGAAGCUGGAGGGGAAGGAGCAGCUGCAGCUGCCAGGUCUUGGAACGGAGCCAGGAGAUCUUUGGUGUGGACCGGUAGUGGUUCAGUGGGGCCAAGGGCAACGGGGCUCAACCACCACUGAGAACAUGGAGAAGGGGCAUCCAGGGCAAUACAAGCCAGAUUGACAAAGAGAGACACUUCAGUGAUAAGGCAAGACGGGUUGCCCAGGGAAGUGCUGAUAUGACCAUCUUCCAGUCACCAAGAUGAACUCUUCACUCAUCUUUGACUCAUAGAAUGUCAAGGUCUGUCAAUUCUACUUCCGCCAUUUUUCCUAUCUGUCCCUUCCAAACCUACAGCAACCAUCCUAGUGCAAGUUGUUCUCCCUUUAAAAGAUAUUGUAUGACUAGUUUUCAUUAAACUAAUUAAUCCAUUUUCUUCCAGUAUACCUCUAAUUCAUUCUUCCACAUAAGUCCCUGAACCUAAUGGCUCUCCAUUGCCUCUGAAAUCAAACACAAAUUCAGGAUCCUGGCAUGCAAGGCUCUGCACUCUGAUUCCAACCUCCCUUUAGAGCUUCAUGUAUACUACACUUCCUCUUCAUGUUAUUACUUUUUAGACAAACUACCUUUUCAGUUCCUUGUUCUUCUCACCUUCUCCAAUCUAUGCCUUUGUUCAUUCCUCAAACUGAUUAUUACUUCCACUCUCAAAUGCUUAACACUUUUUUAAGUGUUUUCCUUCCUGGCUCAACUCUUCCUGAAGAUGGUGUCUUUAGAACAACCCCUUCUCUGACUCUCCCAAGAGUGUCUCCCUCACCAAAUUUCUGACAACACCUUGCUUAUAAUUCUUAUACUCUUUAACAGGUUAUUUUUCUUUUUUUCUUUUCUUUUCUUUUUCUU